GACGUAGGAUGCAAGCGUUGUCCGGAUUUAUUGGGCGUAAAGAGUUCGUAGGCGGUUCACUAAGUCUGGUGUUAAAGAUCAAGGCUCAACCUUGGGACAGCACUGGAUACUGGUGGGCUGGAGUGUGGUAGAGGCAAGCGGAAUUCCAGGUGUAGCGGUGAAAUGCGUAGAUAUCUGGAAGAACACCGGUGGCGAAGGCGGCCCCCUGGUUGGAUACUGACGCUGAGACGCGAAAGCGUGGGGAGCAAACAGG
rnacentral:rRNA from 1 species